GACCUAUUGUCAUGUUUAAUCCCAGUGAGAGUCAAGUUGGGAGUUGAUAAUUUCUUUUUUUUCUUUUUUUUUUUUUACAGAGGAUCAGUUUAGUAUGCAUUAAGUAAAGAUUUCAACAGUUUGCACCCACAUAGAAACACAAAGUGAAAUAUAUUGUUUGAGUACUCGUUAUAGCAUUAAAUCUCAAUGCACAGCACAUUAAGGACAGAGAUCCUACAUGAGGAGUAAGUGCACAGUGACUCCUGUUGUUGACUUUACCAAUUGACACUCCUGUCUAUGGCAUCAGUAAUCUCCCUAUGUUCCAGUCAUGAGUUUCCAAGGCUAUGGAAGCCCUCUGAGUUCUCUGAUUCUUAUAUACUUUUACUCUCAAUCUGUGUUAUACCUGAAUUGAGUUUAUUGAAGACAGCAUAAAAUCUGACUGUUUUUUGAUCCAAUGAAAAUCUCUGUCAUUUGGUUGUGUAUUUAGGCAAUUUAUAUUUAACUCAAUCAUUUAUGUUUAUAGUUUUGGUCUCAUAUUUUGCUCUAUGUUUGCUAUUUAUUUUCUCUAUUUUUCAUUUCUCUACCUUCCUAUUUUGUCUUCUUUAGGAUUACAUGAAAAUUUUUGGAAUUUUGAUUUAUUAUUUAUUAUUAUGGAAUUUUGAUAUAUUUCUUUGUGCAGUUUGUUAGUAGUUACGUUAUGUAUUAUAUUAAAUUUACACAAUGUCUAUCUACAGAUAUCUUCAUUUUUAUAACUUCAAAUGAAGUAUAAGAACUUUAUCUCUCUUACCAUGCCAUGUUUAAUUUAUAAUUGUCAUUAAUAUUAAAUAUUUAUUUCAACCAUAUUCAUAAUUUCUUGUUGAAGUAGUUUCCUGAUGGCUGCUUUAAAAUUCUGUGAGAUUUUUUUUUAAUAUCUCAGGCAUCUUGGUGUCUUUAUGUAUUGUCAGUCUUUUUUAAAAAUUCAUUUUAAGUUCUUUCUGCUUCUUGGCAUAACAAAUGAUUUUUAAUUAAAUUCUGGACAUUUUGUGGGGACAGCAUUAGCAUGGUAGGUUAAGCUGGCUUAUGGUGCCAGCAUCCCAAUCAGAAUGCCCCUUUGGCCGGUGCUGUGGCUCAAUAGGCUAAUCCUCCACCUUGCGGCGCCGGCACACCAGGUUCUAGUCCCGGUUGGGGCACUGGAUUCUGUCCCGGUUGCCCCUCUUCCAGGCCAGCUCUCUGCUGUGGCCCGGGAGUGCAGUGGAGGAUGGCCCAGGUGCUUGGGCCCUGCACCCCAUGGGAGACCAGGAGAAGUACCUGGCUCCUGCCAUCGGAUCAGCGCGGUGCGCCGGCCGCAGCGCCAACCAUGGCGGCCAUUGGAGGGUGAACCAACGGCAAAGGAAGACUCUUCUCUCUGUUUCUCUCUCUCACUGUCCACUCUGCCUGUCCAAAAAAAAAAAAAAAAAAAAAAAAAGAAUGCCCCUUUGAGUACCAGCUGCUCCACAUAUGAUUCUGUUUCCUGCUAAUGCUCAUGGGAAGGCCGCAGAAGAUGGCCAAAAUGCUUGGGCCCCUGACAUCCAUGUGCAUGACUUGGAUGGACUUCUUGGCUCCUAGCUUUGGCCUGGCCCAGCCCUGAUCAUUGCAGUCAUUUGGAGAGUGAAUCAGUGGAUGAUCACUGUCUCUCCUUCUGUUGUUCUACCUUCCAGGUAAAUAAAUAAAUCUUUAAAAAGAAAACCUAGUCAUUUUUAUAUAUUAUGUAUGAGAGCCUUUUUCUGAUUUAAAUCUUUUGAUUUCGUUUGCUUCCUCUUACACCACUCCAUCAAGGGAAUGGGGAUGAUGUGCUGCUGUGUCACUACGAGAUGUGGGUAACAGGCCAGGUAUCCCUGUUUGGCCACCAUUGACAUCCGAAGUGGGAGGGUCCCUUGUUACUGCUAGAUGAGGGUGACAGAUCUUGUUCCUGAGUAAUUCUCCACGGAUACAUAUCUGGCUAGGAGUGGUUCAUCACUUCCUGGAUAAAAGCAGUCUGUUACUUCUUCUGGUACAGCCUCCACCAGUCUUCAGUGUUGAAAGAUAAAAUUUGUAAUGUCCUGACUCUCCAGUAAAUCCCCUUUAUCACAUCUCAGUGGGAAAGUGGAGGGUUUCCUCACUGUUGGGUUGAAGGUAAAAGCCGAGGCUCCCCAUGUAAACUCAAUCGACACUGCAUGGAAGGAAAGAGAACUUGUUACUGACUCACAUCCAACGAGGAUGAAAGUCCCAGAUCUCUACCUGAACAUCUUUUCUGCCACUCCUAGAGUCGGAAGGAGAAGGCUUUGGGAGGCCUUGUUCGAACCUGGCAAAUCUUGGCGCCUAGGCGCUCCACAUGAACUUGCAGGAGUUCUUUCCAUGGUGUUAAAGUGGAGCAAAAUGAGAUUAUUCUAGCACUCACUGUCUUUCUUGGCUGCCCCUCAUUUCAUCUUUGGCAAGAGAGAACAUGGUUUUCUUGUAGUUGCUUCUUUUAAAACCAAUUGGCAUUUCUGAGAUACAGCCGUCUUCAGCUCCAAAUGGUGACAAUAUAGAGCAAAAAGAAAAUCCAAGAAACUCAUGCCAUGACAUGGCUUGGAUCCUGCAGUCUCUAGCUAGUUUGUCAUCUUCUCUCCAUCUUUCAGAGUCUCUUUAUGGUUGUUUUAGUGUAUAAUAUCCAGGGAUUUUAAUUGUACCUAGCAUUCUUUCUUCCAGGAAACCUGAGUCUCUUGUUUCUUUCUUUUUUCCUAUCUAUUUAUAUUUUUAGUUGGGAGGGCAACAUACAAUUUUCAAAUUAGGUUCCUUAAAGAAGUUAAAACAGAAUCUUGAAAAAACUACUUAAUGAAUUUUGUAUUUCAAAAGGAAAGUUUUAGAGGAUGCAUCUCCAUCUGUAAUUUAUUUUUAAAAAUCCACUUCGCUUCCACUUUCCAAUUUGCAGCAAUUUUGUCCUUGACAAACUUGUCUCUAAUACAUGUUCUUUUAAAACCUGCAACCCUCUGGGAGUCAUGUCCGUUUGGUUCAUUGUCGUUCCCGUGUCUAACCCAAGACCCACCACUCACCGGUUUGUACUCAGUAAGCAUCUGCUGAAGAAGUGAGUGGGAACUGGAAAUUUAAAUUUUACUCUUUUAGGUCAGUUAUCUAUUUUCCGCACACAGCGGAGGUGUAUCUCCAUGUUGAUUCUCCACCAAGCACCCUUUAAGUGUUUGCUGGGACAAUAGCAAAAUUUCUCCAUAAUUUUGCAAAAAAAAAAAAAAAGAACAAUUUUAAUUUCAGCACAUGUGUAGGUUUUUCUUUAUAGUUUAGAAGUAUGUGUAUUUUAAAUUACAAAUGGGAAGAACACCAUAACAGUUCCCAGAUGUGUGUGUAUGCACAUGAAGAUUCAAGCCAACUGCUUUUGAAGACAGUGACCUGAGGACCCCCAAAAAGACCAUAAACUAUUUUUAGGAUAUGCUUCUUAAAUCUAUAACUCUUUCCUUUUAUUAGGAAAUCAUAGUUUAUCAUUUUAAAUCUUUACUGUAUAUUGUGCCAUGAACACUUACGUACCUUGAGGAGGGAUGUUGUUAAUCUGUCCUUUUGAUAAGGCACUGCAUAUAAUUUUUAAUUUCUUACGAAGAUAAUUCUACUUUAAAUAAGGAUUCUCCAAUCAUUGCAGUGUGCUUUUUUUAUUAAUGGAGUUGGAAAACAUGGUUCUUUUUACCACUACUCAGUAUGUUUGGCUUAAAUACUAACAAUGCCUGCUUUCCUGCUUGGCUUCAGAUUCAACUUAAGGAAAUUGUGAAAGAUUUAAUUUACUCCACUUUUGUUAGAAAGUAUGGAAAUGUUUGUACAUGGGAACUUUCAUUGCAUGCUAGAAUGGAAAUUCAAUGGGGAGGGGGACCCAUUUCAUUUAUUGCCUAAGAGCUGUUGAUAUACUCCCUGCAUCUUUCAAAGGCAUCUUUCUUGCCACACAGGCAAAAUGUAGCCUGCAAACGAACAGAAAGAGCACUUCUCACAUGUGUCAAUCUCAGCAAACUUACACAGCAGCUGUGUUAGGUACUGGUGAAGAUUACCCCAGGACCGAGUUGCAGGGUUUUGUGUAUUUGAAGGGACAACUGACUCUCCCAGGGGACCACUUUGUUGGAGAUUACAGCAAUAAUGCAUCCCCACUGUUGCUAGUGGAUAUUGUGUAGUGCAAAAUUGGUGCUGGAUAAAAUCAGAAAGUAAUAAAAAGCAAAGAGGAAACUCUGAGAUUUUUGAAUCUUAAAGUGAGAAACCAAAGCAAAUGUCUGGAGCUUGUUGUAUUCAUUUGUAGAAAAAAAAAAAAAAAUCCGGGGAAGGGAUGCCUUUAAUGCAGAAAACUUGCAGGGCGUUCAGUCUUUUCAUUUUAGAACCAUUUGGGUGUGUUGAAAAAUAAAGUUGCAGUGUAGGCAUGUUCAGACCUUUAUUUGCUACAUUUGGUAGCAAAGAUUUUUUUUCCCCCCUCUGUACUCUAAGAAGCCAGAGUUUUCUGUGCAAACGAAACAGGCGUUGCAAGAAUCAGAUUCACUUUGGACGACUCUUCACAUUCCAAGUCAUCAUUGCAUUAGGCAGCACAAUUCCAUCUCUGGUUGAUGGGCAGAAAAAGUGGGCAGCUUGCCAGGUAGACGUUUCCAUGACUCCCAGCCCCCAAAGGUGAUGCGUUUUUCAGCUAAUUCAAUGAAGAGUGGGCUGAACUUUGGGUCUAAACGAGACAAUAGCUGCCUUCGCAGUAUCAGCAGAAUGGUUGAUGGGAAUGCACUCUACAUUUGGCAGAGAAUCAUGUGACCUUACGGCUGAGAUUUUGUGAUGGUGCCAACGGAGACUUGGAAAGCAGCAACCGUCCUGACUUUUUUCUUCUUUUCUAGCAUGGCUCAGAAAAUGGUGGAUCUUAAUACUUGACUCUAGCCAGACUCAGCAAGCAACUGAGCUUUGAAGCACAACUUCGCCUUUAUUCUGGGUUUUUGGCAGGCCACCAGGAGGCUGUCCCUUUCACGCCUGAUAAAUUCUGCUGCUUAUCUCUAAAGAGAGAGAGAGUGAGAGAAAGAGAGAGAGAGAGGGAGGAAAAUAAUAACAGAAUAUUGAGGCAUAACAAGCAAAUCCUAAAAAUUUGUAUGUGCUUUUUGUUUUUGCCUCUUCUGACUGCUGAUUUUUUUAAAUGUUAAUAGCCUGUCUGCUUGCUGCAGAGUCCAAGUAGUUGGGUUAUGUAUGUAUAUAUGUAUGUAUGUAUUUUUGGGUUUAGAAUGAACAGGCAUUUGAACUGGGCGAACAAGACGACAGCAGCAGUGAGCGUGAGAUCAUUGCAGCAAUGUAGCAAACUGGCACCCUGCCUUUUCACCCCUUUGGUUCAGGAGACCAACGUGUGCAAUCCUCAUUUCUAAAGUCAGCACAGCCUGGAAGGAUUCCUGGUCUCUUCCCACCUUCUACCCUUCUGCUGCCAGUGACGGCAAGGAUUGGUGCAGCUUCUGCGCAGUGCUUUGUGCCUGGAAUACGGAAAAGGAAGAAAAAGAAGACAAGCACCCUGGUCCUUUUUUUCUAAGAAAUAACAGGAGCCCUGAAGAAAAAAAUCUGAGUUUGUCCUACUACUUGCAAGAGUGCUGAAAAAAAAAAAAAAAAUGAGACGCUCCUGCUCCAAAACAAAAACAAAACAAACAAACAAAAAUCCAAACCAAAACAAACUUUAAAAAGGCAAACAUUGGCUGUCUAACUACAGAGACAUCGGCUUUGUAAAGCAGCUUUGCAAGGCAGCAUAACCAAAUGAGCCUUCUUUAUUUUUAUUAUUUCCAAACUAUGGCAUAAUUAGCAAUGUAUUGCACUUGGUGAAAUCGCACCUUUCAUAUCAGGCAAACUUAAAAUGAAUAUGAGAAGGGAAGAAAGUGAUCAUAGGAGAAAAUCAUCUCAGGGAAAGCUUUAGAGAGAAAAUCUACAUCUUUUAAAUUUGAAAUGUAUCUGCCAUGCCCAGCUCCUUCCCCUAACUGACUACUUUUGUAAAGCCUCUCUUUAAGAAAUGGGAAAUUCUUGAGUAUGUUGUAAAACAGUCAAUUAAAAGUUUCUGUGAAUCCAGCAACUUUCAUCCAACAUCCCUUCUAUCAACUUUUUAUGUAUUAAAAUUAAACUUGAAGUAUAAUUAUGGAAGCUAAUAUACAGCCUUUAUAUUUUUCACACUUUUCCAGUUUUUAGAGCUCUAAAGAAUUUACUCUGUCACCACUUAAUCAAAUCUCAAUAUUUUUGGUAUUUUAUUUUCUCAUCAGCUGUUAACAUCACUGUCCUGAUACAUCAAUACCCAAAUCUCCCCUUAAACUGACUAAAUGAAACAUUUCUACCAUGGUAAAAUAAAGUUUUUCCUUGGGUAUUACGACUCCUGCUUAUAUGUUUAUGUGACUAUCUGAUCUUAUUUGACUCAAAUUUUCUGCUAAUUUUCUUGUUUAGUAAAGAAAUGUUUCAGUCUCUGUAUUUUUACAACUGAAAAAAAAAUAAAUAUCACAUAAAAGAAAAUAUCAUAUUUUCCUGUGGAUCAUUCUUUUGGACAGUUGACACACAUGUGGUUUCAGGACAACUGUAGUAAAAUCAGUUUGGAUGUGACAUCUGUGUUUCAGUAUGCUAAAAAGGCAUCUAGUCUAUUUGAUAAUACAUGAUUAGCACCAAAAGUUCCCAAAUAUAGAUUGAAUUGUGUGACUCCUAUAUAGUAGUAUAAGAAAAGUAAUUAAAAGCAUUUUGAAAUUGUUUUUGGAAAAUGCAUUGCUGCAAGGUGGCAUAAGCACAUAAACAUGACACUACUGUCUUAUGGAAUGCACAAGAAAGGAGUGUCUUUUGUGCCAAAUAAACAUUAUUCAAUUAACGCUUCACAAUAUGUAGUGUGAACCUCCCUAGUCUGUGUUUAUCCAUCCUGAGGCUGCUACUUUUAAUGCCUCAAAAACUGUUGCCUGCAUACCAUCUCCUUCUGCUGGAUCUUGGGGUGCAAAUCUGAUUACAGGCACAUUUCCUUCUUUUUUCUUUUCUUUUUUUUUUUUUUUUUUGGACAGGCAGAGUUAAACAGUGAGAGAGAGACAGAGAGAAAGGUCUUCCUUUGCCGUUGGUUCACUCCCCAAAUGGCCGCUAAAGCUGGCACGCUGCACCAAUCUGAAGCCAGGAGCCAGGUGCUUCCUCCUGGUCUCCCAUAUGGGUGCAGGGCCCAAGCACCUGAGCCAUCCUCCACUGCACUCCCUGGCCACAGCAGAGAGCUGGACUGGAAGAAGAGCAACUGGGACAGAAGUGGUGCCCCAACCGGGACUAGAACCCCGAGUACCAGCGCCGCAGGCAGAGGAUUAGCCUAGUGAGCCACGGCGCCAGCUGGUACAUUUCCUUCUUGAAUCUAAGUAGCUAACCCAAAACUAUAUGAAUACAAGAAAUAAAUAAGAAAGAGAAUCUUAGGAUUAAUAAACAUACUAGUGUUAAAAAAAAAAAGAGCCAGUGAGGGCUAUACAAAUAGUCUUGCUUAAUAAAUUCUUUUAACCCAACGUAUAAUACUUGGUUUGAAUUUUAUUAGUAGUAUACUUGUGUGAGAAAAGUGCCCUACCCAAGAUGUUUUGAGUCACCAAUUUGGGUGGAAAGAUCAUUUUGCCUUAUUGUGGGAUUCUGAGUAGGCAUUUUAGCAUUCAUUAUUUAUUUUCAUUACCUAUUUUCAAAAUGAAAUGUUAUCUGGUCUGCCCUUUUGCGAAUGAAAGAUUUACUCCAACGUUGUUUAUUUAAUUGUUUUGUCUGCACUGUUAUCUUUUUUCAAAAUAAUACAGAUUCUCUUUAAUCAAGCCUACUUAUUUAAAUGAAAUAUAGUACCUUGACUUUGAAUAGCCGUGAAUAGUCAUAUUCAUGUGGCUGGACUAUGUAUGUAAUUCUUCAAAACAUACCAGUGUGCAAAUAAAUAUAAUGGUUCUAUUCUUUACAUUUAUUAAAUAUUUAUACAUAUCACAAGAAAGAUGAAAUACUUAUUCUGUGAAGUAGUUUAAAUUGUUUUUUGUCUUUUUCUCAGGAAUAGUCAUUUUUUUGGAGCACCCAAAAUUUGUAUCAUCUCACCGAGUGUACAGACCCAAAUGUCAGGUUGUUACGUUUUAGUCAAAGGACCUGUUUCCCUCACAUUUUCCUGAUGAAUCUGUUUGUGCAUUUUCCCUCCACAAUGUCUAUAACUCAAAUCACCCUUUCUUUGCUUUACAUUAUCUUCAGUUUCCUGGGCCUACAGGGAAUGCUGUUAUUCAAAUAGGUUUUGGAAGCCCAGAUUUUAGGCUGUGUGUAGUUCUACCUACACUGUUCCAUGCAAACAUGACGGCACUACCUCUGAGCUGCCUUUCAAGUAGAUCAUCCCAGUCCAUGCAGGAGUAACAGGAACCUACUCGGCAGGUAGGCUGGUGAGUGAGUCCACGUGAAGUAGAGCCUAGGUCUCUGCUGAGUCCGCAGGUUUCAUAUAAACACAGCUAGAGUGAUAUUUUUUGAACUAUGGACAGCUGGCCUUCCUCUUGAAGCAUAUGUAUUACCUUCUUCCAUCAUUUCCAACAUUUUGUUUUCAGUUAUUAUUUUCCUGAGGGAGGAGAGAGCCUUGGAAUAGUAGCCCUGUUAUUUUCUCUCUGUGUGGAUGUAUGUGUUACUUAAAACCUAUAUGAGUUAUAUCGUUUCUUCAAUAAAGGUUUUAAAACCAGUAAGCCCUCUCCUCAUUUUUUCUAAAAAUAACAUACAUUACUUACAGAUAAGGCUAAUGGUCAAUAGUCUCUUUGUUCUAUACGCUAAACCUAGAACUAAGUAAUGUUGUCUGAUAGCCAGACCUCAGGUUAUAAGACUUUUCUUUCAUUAUCAGAAACAUGGUUAGUGUGACCUAAAGUUCCAACUUGUUACAUUUCUAAAACUCAAUUCUUUAACCAUUUAUUUCUUAUUCAGGAUGUCUUCCCUUAAAGCUCUCUUAUGGCUUAUUUUGAGGAGGACGUUAAAUAUUCCCUUUGCUCUGGUCACAGAUAGAUAAUAUACACUGAAUUUUCAUGUACAAGGAAAAAGAAUUGGAGGUAGAUUAUUGUUUGAAAACAAAGGCUAGAAUAUUCUUUAUUUUUUUAAAGAUUUGUUUAUCCAUUUGAAAGUUAGAGCUACACAGAGAGAGGAGAGGCAGAGAGGGAGCUGCAUCGAUCCGAAGCCAGGAGCCAGGAGCUUCCUCUGGGUCUCCCACUCAGGUGCAGGGGCUCAAGGACUUGGGCCAUCCUCCACUGCCCUCCCAGGCCACAGCAGAGAGCUGGAUUGGAAGUGGAGCAGCCGGGUCUCAAACUGGCGCCCAUAUGGGAUGCCAACGCCCCAGGCCAGGGCAUUAACCCACUGUACCACAGUGCUGGCUCCAGCUAGCAUAUUAUUUAAAUUGCUAUAGUAAAUAGAAGUAAUGCUAAAAAAAAAAAAAAAAACCUAAAUUUUUACCACCUAAGUUUCAACUGAAAAUAAUAGACUGAAAUUCAUGAGGACUUGUUUAAAAACAAAAAGAUGUAUUCAUUUAUUUAAGCAUCAGAGAUGCAGGGAGAGAGGGAGAGAGGAAGAGACAUAUCUUCCAUCUGCUGGUUCAUGUCUCAAAUAGUUGCAAUGGCUGGGGCUGGGCCAGGAGCUUCAUCUGAGGCAUCCAUGUGAGUGACAGGAGCCCAAGCACUUGGCCAUCUUCCACAGCUUUUGUCAGGCCCUUAUGAGGGAGCUGGAUUUGAGGCGGAGCAGCCAGGACAGGAACCAGAGCCCAUAGAGGAUGUUGGCAUCACAGGCGGCAGCUUUACCUGCUACACCACAACACUGGCCUGUCAUUAGAGGCUUUCUUAACUAACUUCUGAAGUCUCAGUGGAAAAGAGGCAGUCACAACAUCAUUAGGUCCAGCAGGUUAAGCUGUUGCUUGGUCUGCCAGUAACUUAUAUGAAUGCUUGUUCAAGUCCUGACUGCUCCCCUUCCCACCCAGCUCCCUGUUAAUGUGCCUGGAAAAUCAAGAGAGCAGUGGAUGAUGGCCCAAGUACUUGGGCACCUGUCACCUAUGUGGGAGACCACAACGGAGUUCUAGACUCUGAUUUUGUCCUUCCUUUCUCUGGUCAUUUGAGGAGUGAACCACUGGAUCAAAGAUUCUCUCUCUCUCUCUCUCUCUCAAUCUGACUUUCAAAUAAGUAAAUUUUUUUUUAAUCAUCAGAUCUGGUGAGCACUCCAUUUAAAAGGUUGGCUAUAGCCUAUGAAAAUUAUAGAAGUAGCAGCAAAAGCCAUGAGGUAUAUUCAACAGGUCAGCUGUAGUAGGAUUUCACAUGGCUGCGUUAAGUGACGUGACAGCAGACUACAAGGCCCAGUUUUCACAUUAUCUAAUGCAUUUGCUCAGUGAUGUAAAGGUUGCCUGGAAAUUCCAAUUGGAAGAAGAUAAAGUCAGUGUAAUAGGAGAGUGAGGAAAGUGACAGAAAUGUAUUUGAGCCUGUGUUGUUAAAUUCUGAGGCACUUAGUAAUUUCAUCUCUUAUCAUUAUUAUGUUUCAUUGUUAUUUCUCCUCAAAAAGCAAACUGUUUGUGUGAUUACUUUCUCCUAUGCAUAUUUUUAAAAUAGCAUCUGACACAAUUUGUACUAAUCUCUAAGAAAAUGUAUAAGGUUUCUUUUAUUUGCUUAACCCAGUGUUUUUCAAGACAAGCCAUUCUGAGUGGAGGAGUAUACAGUUCCAAACAUGCCUGAGGUAUGUCAGAUUCUGAAUUACCUGGAUCCUAAGGAAUUGUAGCCACAGUUUAGAUAGCUGCCUUGACAAUUAGGGAGGUUAAAUACUCUCUCUUUGUUUAGAAAUUCCAUCUCAAUGAUUUUUUCAAGAUAGCCCUUUUUUUUGUGAAAAGGGUUUUGACUGUGAAAAGUGAAUGAAUGACUAAGCAUUUUUGAUUGUACAAACUGGACUUUGUUCUAUGGCUCUGUUCCCUUGUUGUUGCACUGUAUGCUUCUAAUUCAUGCAAUACCCAACAUGUUUUUCUUCUUUUUAAAAAAUAAGCCUUAGUAAAAUACUCUCACUCCUUAAAAAUGUGACAUAUGUUCUUGAAAUUUUCUUUUAGUUAAUAGAAGUCUAUUUGAGAGUGUUGUCUAGAAUAUUGACAAAAAUCUUUCCAGAUUCUGUCAAGGCUGCCUGAACAGGGUAUGAAGGGUAGUCAGAAAAAGAUGUAGGAGUUGGAUAUCUGAAGUUUGGCUAUAUCUGUAGUGGCAGCUUCAGUUCUGUUAAAGCUGGCUGAGAACAGGUAAGAAGGUAACCCACUGUUGCCUAGUGAGGAACUCUCACUGCGCUGGCAGUGAUACAGAAAGAUCAUGCCACAUGGAAGAAACAAGUAAAAAGGCUCAUAAAUAUUACAUUUUGCUGACUUGUUCUGUUUACUUCUUCCUCUUUCCUAUAUGUUGAUAUGACUGUUGUUCUUUUUUUUCUCUUUUUUUCUUUUCUUUUUUGUUUUGUUUUGUUUUUAACUUUUAUUUAAUGAAUAUAAAUUUCCAAAGUACAGCUUAUGGAUUACAAUGGCCUCCCCCCCAUAACGUCCCUCCCACCCGCAACCCUCCCCUUUCCCGCUCCCUCUCCCCUUCCAUUCACAUCAAGAUUCAUUUUCAAUUCUCCUUAUAUACAGAAUAUCAGUUUAGUAUAUAUUAAGUAAAGAUUUCAACAGUUUGCACCCACGCCGAAACACAAAGUAAAAAUACUGUUUGAGUACUAGUUAUAGCAUUAAAUCUCAAUGUACAGCACACUAAGGCCGAAGAUCCUACAUGAGGAGUAAGUGCACAGUGACUCCUGUUGUUGACUUAACAAAUUGACACUCUUGUUUAUGGCAUCAGUAAUCACCCUAGGCUCUUGUCAUGAGUUUCCAAGGCUAUGGAAGCCUUUUGAGUUCACUGACUCUGAUCAUAUUUAGACAAGGCCAUGGUCAAAGUGGAAGUUCUCUCCUCCCUUCAGAGAAAGGUACCUCCUUCUUUGAUGACCUGUUCUUUCCACUGGGAUCUCACUCGCGGAUAUCUUUCAUUUAGGUCAUUUUUUUUUUUCAGAGUGUCUUGGCUUUCCAUGCCUGAAAUACUCAUUAAAUAAAAGUUAAAAACAAAACAAAAAAUACUCAAUUUUCAACAACAACAACAACAAAAGGCAAAAAAGAACAACAACAACAAAAAAGCAGUGACUCUGUCACCACCUUCCUGGUGCCUAAAAUUAAUUUAAAAAAUAGGAAUAAAUUGGGAAGCUUUUUUCCAAUAACAAACUUUGCUUUAAAAGUAGUAGAAUAACCCCAAAUCAGUCUGCUACAUGAGAAUGCCAGUUUGUAAAUACACACCAUUUUUUGUUUUCAUUGCUCUUAAAGUUGCAAAAUGUAUAUUCCAUUCUGUCCCAUAGUGGUAGCUUCACUCUUUUUCAUAAAAGGAAAAUGAAAUCUUUGGGUAUUAAGAGUCCUACAUAACUGUUCUGUAGUUGUACAACAAAUGCAACAGGAAUAAUGUUAUAACUCAGUUUUCUAGUUUAAGUGCUUUGUUUCAUCUGCCUCUUUUAUAUAUUAAAUUCUCAAAUUAGAAAUGCUAUAUGCUUUCAAAUUAAUUUAAGUGUGUGAAAAGUGUUGUCUUAUGAUAGAUGUAUGCAUACAUUUCUGGAAUGUUUUUUGUUUCAUAAAGUUGAAACAAAGGUUAGAGAUGUGAGUGAAACAUGAAGGCAGAUAGAAGGCUCCAAGCAGAUUUUAUUUUGAUAAAAUAUUUAUGGAAAAUUUGAUACAAACUUUAUGUUCCACCAACUGAACUUAAUACUCUGGAAUUGACAUGAUAGUAUAUUGCUAAAUGUUUACUUUAUCUUGUAAUUUGACAGUUCCACCUGGGACAGGUAGAAUAUUUUGUUAAUAGGUUCUUUGAACCAUAUUUAGUGGCCGCUUUCACAGGUCUGCUUAAUAAAGAAAAGUCCAAUACUUAGCUAGGUGCUCAGGCACAUACAUUUAGUCAUAAUGAAAUCAGCAUGUUUAUUGCAGCUCAAUUCGCAGUAGCUAAGAUAGGGAACCAACCCAGAUGUCCAUCAACUGAAGACUGGAUAAAAAAAAAAUGUGUUAUAUAUACAGUAUGGAAUACUAUUCAGCCAUAAGAAAUAUGAAAUCCUGUCUUUUGCAACAAAAUGAAUGCAACUGGAAACCUUUGUGAUUAAUGAAAUAAGCCAGUCCCCAAAACACAAAUAUCUUAUGAUUUUUUUGAUAUGUGGUAGUUACUAUAGACUAUAAAAAAUGUACAGGAAACAAAUGAAUAUUUUGUGAUUUGAUCAUUAUUUUUAGCCUUAUUUAUACUCCUGUGGAAUUGCGGUCUUUCUACUUUUUACUUGUUGAGUGUUAUGGUUAGUUGUGUGCUAAGCCUGUGAUUAUAUAGUGGACUAAAAUUAUGUCUUUGUGAAAGUUAAAGGAAAGAAGAAAGGAAGAAGGGAGGGUGUUUGGGGGGGGAGUGGGAUGGAAGGAAGUAUGGUUAUCUACUUAGAUACUUUUUAGAGAAGAAAUGUUUUAGAAGUGUUCCUGUGAAAUACAUGAAAUCCAUUAUAUUUAUAUUAAUAAAUUUUUUUAGAAUAAAUAGACAAAAAUGAUUGAAUAGUGAACUGAGGGGUAAAUUAAUAGUAAAUGAAAUAUAACCAAUUGUGCAAUAAAGUCAGAUAUUGUGGCUCUAUGUUUGAUAUAUUAUAAAAUCAAAUAAAACUAUCUCUGUACAAUCAAUUAUUCAGUUAUGCCAAAGUUAUUCAGCUGUUUGAAAUCGCUAUAAUACUACUUUUGCAAUGUUAAAUAAAGGAGGAAAUUAAAAUAGAAGACUAAGACAUGGAGAAAAGUAUUCUUUUAACACUUUACAUAAUAAUGCCAAAUUAGAAUACCUAGAGAUUCUCAUCAAUAUUUGAGAAACAGUUAAGCAAAUUAUGGUACUUUUCCAGGACAAAAUUUUAUGCAUUUACAUAAAUGAUUAGUUAGACAAAUCUAGCACACAAUGAAGAGAAGAUCAGAUCCCCCAUUGUGUCACUGUCAAGACGUUCUGGAUAGGAAAGAUUGCUCCAAUCUUGUGUCCUCUUAGUUCCUUGUAGGAUCCUCCCUGAUAGAUAUAGUCUGUCCAUGCAGUUGUGUCAUGAAAAUUACACUCAACAGUGUGCCAUCAGAGAAGUCAAUUUCAUUUUGAGAGGCAGACUGACGAGACACUUAGAAAGCGAUGAACUUUGGAACCAGGUAGACCACAACCAAAGGUACAAAGUGGUGUACAUUGCUUAACUUCUUUGAAGCUCAGAUUCCUUGUCAAUAAUUUCCAAAUAAUUAUACCAUUUCCUUCAUGGGAUUAUUGUGAUGAGAAAUGGCAUAAAAUAUCCUAGCACUCAGUGAGGUAGAGAUUAGGUGUUAAAUGAAGGUAAUUGUUAGUGUUGUUGUGGGUCAUUAUGCUAAUCUAAAACUGCUACUCAAAAAAAUUCUAGCUGUAAUUUUGGCCCAAAUUAUUACUAUUCAGUACAGUAUUAAACACCCUCUAUAACUGUACCCCAGUCGGAUUGCCUGAUCUCUUCCCCAAGGAACAUUGCUUGCAUAAGGCAGCAUUUUUGCCAUGACCACCUGUCAUUUCCCCAGAACUGCAUGGAUCCCUGCCUUUGAGAAUUUCCUCCUCACCAGCCCACAGAUCUGAUGUCUUUUCUCCUUCCUCAGGCUUUUCCUGUUAAAUAGUCCUCAAACUUCAAGGCUCAACUUAGGUGGAGCUUCCUGUAUAGGCCUCCUGUUAAUACUCAAUAAUUAUGGUCUCUCUUCCCUGUGUUCUCAUUGUACCUUCUAUUUCAUGCAAUGCUUCAUAUUUUCCAUAUUUUCACAAUUUUAUCUUUGACUCUUCCACCACAUAGAAAAUUUUUGGAAGACAGAGGUCAUUUUUGCCAUCAGUUUAGUAAUCCUUUUAGCAACUUAGUUAUUUGCACACAGUGAACUUGAAUAAAAUGUAUAUCAAAUUAAAUUCAAGAGAGUAAAAGCUCCAUAAAUGACCUCUAGGAACUCUUCUUAAUGGAUAUAUGCCAUUUAAAUUACUCAAUUAUGCGAAGCUAUUCUAAUAUUUAUAUAUUGAAUUUUCACUUACAUGAGAUUAUUUGUAAAAAAGACAAAAAUAUUGGGAUACUUGGCACAAAAUCACAUUAUUUCCUCUCCAUUCUAAUUAAUUUCACAGACUUAUGGAUACAAUUAUAUGGUUUAUUUUUUUUUCUGUUUUGGCUAGUUCAUAGACAUAACCAUUGUAUAAUUUACAAUCUGUGUUCCUGAUGAUUAAAACAGUGCUUAUACCAUUUUUGGAAUUUUUUACUGCUUCAAGAGACAGAAAGAUAAAUGCACUGAUUGACAUGAUAGAUUUAGAAGACUUGUGGAUCUUCUAGAAAGAAAAUGAACUCAAAAAAUUUCAAGCAUAAUGUCUUAAAAUUCUUUCUCUGGAGAGGAAGAAAUUUUAAUUUUUUUGACUAUGCAAGUGAUGAAUGUAGGGGAAAGAAAAGGCCAAAACUUGACCCUAACAUAAAUGUCAACUGAUAUUGAAAAAGUUCUUAGUUUUACUCUAAUUGAAAUUAGAAAAUUAACAGCCUGAUACAAAAUUUCACCCAUUGAUAGGAAGUUUUAACCAGGCCUCCAAAGACAAGAAAGUCUCUUCUUGUAGAUCCCUGGUGUUCUCAUAACUUUACAAGUCUAUGAACCGUUUUUAUAGGAAAUUCCUGUGGAAACUAGAAAGAUAAAGUGCAAAAUUAUGUAUAUAUAAUUUUAUAAGUAGACAAACUUGGCAGUUUAAAUGUUUAUAUAUAUGAUUAUAUGUACAUGCAUAUUUAUAUGUGUGUAUACAUACAUAUGUAAUGUUUCCCAAAUGAUUUCUUCCAAAAUCAAUGAUGACUUCUUGACAUAGAAAAUUAGGGUAGAGAGCUAUAUAAGAGAUUCUAAAAUGACUAGUGAUAAUUAUCUAUGACAAAGAAUCAGCACAUUCAAUAAUCUAAUCAUAAAAUCAAAGUGCUUGGCCAUAAUCUGAGGCAUUUUAGAUAUUCUGAUUACUUUAACUUGGUAUUUCACAUUGAUGAGUAUCUCUAUGAUGCAAUUUAAUGAAGAUUUGACUAGACUUGUUAGAGUAUCACAAAGAAAAUCCAUUAAAUUUUUAAACAAGGUGAGUGUAGACUGAAAAUGAUAUAUUCAGAAAGUUAAGCUAUAUCACUCACAGACUUUUCUCUGUAAAAUUUUUCUUCAACAUAUUAAGAAUAUUAGCUGAUACACACUGAUUGUUUCUAGAUUGUUGUCACAAAUCCUAAAGUAGAGACUUUUUCAAAAAGCUAUAUUCAUUCUGUAAAUGAUUAGAUUUUUAGAGGAGAAGAUCCAUGAUUUUACAUUUCAACAGCAACAGUAUAAGCCAAUGUCUGUUGGGAACUUUGAAAUUCUUUUCAGAGAGGUAGGCAUUUGGCCUGGAAAGAACAGUGGAUCCUAAUUCUACAGGGGUUCACCCUCCUUGAGAUCCCACAGCCAGUUAAUAAUCAGGGAAGGACAGAAUGCAUAUCUCCUGUCUUUUGCGUAUGUGCAAAUUUCUAUUACCUUGAAAUUCUUAAAGGUAAUCCUCACUGUACUGAAUACUUCAUUAUUUAUUAAAUCACAUUUCUGAUUAUUCCAGGCCAUGAUUCCAUAGUCCAUGUUUGCAGUGACUAACACAUAAAAAUUAGUCAUAUGUAUAACAAGUGAAUGAACUUAAACAUCCUUAUGUGAUUUUAAGAUCUUAGAAGAAAUUGCUACUCACUAUGUGAUCAGCAUCUGUCAUUCAGUAUAAACUGAAAAGUAUACUUUAUCACUAUUUAUUGCCUCCUUUUAGUCAGAGGUACAAUUCCUAAGGAAGUUACUGAUUGUUGAGAUUGAAAUCACCAUAUGUUUGAAUCAGAUGUUUUAAUAAUAAAGAUAACUUGUUUACUUGUAUAUUUUAACUAAAGGAAAAAUAAAGUAUAUUUCUGAUUUGUUUCAAUAUUGUGUUUUUAAAACAGUAGAAAUUGGCUUGUGAAGCUUGCCAGACAUAUAUAUUCAAUUUUGCUAAACUGAAUAUCUUAUGGAUGGCUUUUGUGGACAAAAAAUGAUGUAUUUAAGUUGAUUUAUGUGUGUUGUGUGUCAUCAAAAUGCAAAGGAUACAUUUCCUUCUCUAGGUUUUUAUUUGCUUCAUGUUUAUCCGACAUUUUUAGAAGGCUCUUUACAUCAAGGUUUGUCGGCUUCAGUUUUUGAUUUAAGGAGUCUGAGCUUCUGCCCUGUGCGCAGUUACACACUUCUAAGUUAGAGUAAAAAUGGCUGCUGCUCUUGGAUUUCCCUUCUUCUUGUGCCAGAGUCACCUCCCUGCAAAAUUGCAUGUGGAGCAUUUCUAAUCCUCAUUUGUUUCUCCCAGGACUCUGGCUCCUGGAGGGAUUUGGCUGCCUAGCUUGAUGGAGGUAUUCCAGCUCUACUUUCUGCUGGAUAGAAUUUCUCAUUCACUUUAUCUAAUAGAGGAUAAUAUUGGCUAAAAUGAUUAAACUUGAGAUCAGAGUAGGAACAUUUCUGGUACCAUAUCUGGUUUUGCUUCAGGUUCCUACGGUUGAUGUGCAAUGCAUUGUUUUAAUACAACAGUCUGUAAAUAGCAACAUCUCCUAGGAAAAAGUUUUGAAGAAACCUAUGCAUGUUACUUGAAAGAAGUGGGUAUUGAAGUGCUUAAUUCAAUUAGCAACUCAUAAAGUCUAUAUUGACGAGGAUGCAAAUAGCCAUUAUGAGCAUUAUUUUCAUGAAAUGAACAUUUUGUAGAAGUGAAUAUAUAGUUUGCAGAACCUUAGGCAAAUCUUCACUGUCGGUUGAAUUUAUUUAAAGAGCUUUUCUGGUCACCUUUGAACCUCAAUGAUUUCUCCAGAUGUACAGAAGUGAACAAUGUAAAAAUCUUGCUGUUUCAGCAGAACUGAUUCCAGCUGGCUGGGAACUGGAUCUGCAAGUCAUUGGUUACAGCUGUGUUUCGAUUUAUGUGAUGGUUGAAAAAAUAAAUUACCCGAUUAGAUGGCUAGAAAGAGGACUCUUUGUUUAGCCCUUGUGUGGGGAAUGAAAGUGUUUAUGGUGCUGUUUUCUACGCAGUCUUUGCAAAGUAAGCUGGACAAAUAGACUUAUUCAAUGCUCCUAUGAAAUGUUGCAUAUUCAGCUUUAGUUCUUUGCUAAAGAAACUGUAUUUUUUUUUAUAAUGCUGUCAUCCAGCAAAAGUUUUGAAAGUCUAGCAUUUAAGAAAAGCAGUAUGUUUUCUGUCCUACAGAGCACUGCAUUUAGUAAUUGAAGAGCAGUUUUGCUUUGUUUAAUGUGUACUUUAAACCAUGUCUUUGUCAAGCGUUGGAGUGAGAAUACAUUUUCUCCUAAAUUCAAAGUAGCAAAGUAUCUGGAAAUAAAUUCAAAUUUAAACCUUUUCCUUAGUGAGUUAUGGCUUCUAGCAUGUAAGUGAAAAUAAAUUGAUUAAACUGCUAGCGAAAGAAAAAUAAUAGAUCAUUACUGUGAAAACUCGACACACCCAUGAUCAACUUAUAUGAAGAAGAUUUUGAAUUUGUGAAUAUCGUCUUUAUUUUCUAAGAAAAGUUUACAGGUGGAGUUUGGAAGAGUACUAAACAACAUGUAACUGCAAGUUAACAAAGUCAAAACACUACUAACCCUUUGAAGUUGAGCUUACAGUGUCUUCCCAGAGAAGCUAAUAUACUCAUAUAAUGUUAACGAGGGUUUUUGGUUGAUGUUGCUGCUGUUGCAUUAUUAAUCUAAGGUAGCCUAAGUUAAGUCAUUCAGUUUCUAAGUUAUGAAGCUAUCAGAAUGGAUUCCUUGCAACUCAACUAAUUUUCUUGAGACAUUAGUAACUAAUGAAUGGUAGCCCUAAAAUACUUGGCCGCAACGAUAUGGUUUCAUAUUUUAUUCUCUCAAACAGAUUCUGAUUCUCUAAAUGAAUUCAACAGGUUUUGGAAUUUAUUUGUAAUAAUUAGUAAAAUCCUGAGAAGGGAGUGAAUUAUUUAGUGAAAUUGAAAAUGAGGCCAAGCACUUAUCAAGCCUUUGAUGGACAUUGUGAUCAGGUGUCCCAGUGUCAACUGAUAUUGUUCAAUAUCAGUUCAAUAUGGGGAAUAGCCAGGAAUGUAUUACGUUUUACAAGAAAAUAAGUUUUUGUUUAUCCAAUUCUCUUUCUUUAAGAGAUGUAUUAUGGAAUUAAGUGUUUCAGAAUAAAUAACCAUAGUGUAUCCAAAAAGAGACAGAGGUGGGAUUGAUCUGUCUUGAAUUGGCAGUUUUGUCGUGUCAGGCUAUUUCCUUGAUCAAUGAAAGUAUACCCUCUAACCCUUUAUAAAAUCAAUAGAAUUGAUUGGAAAAAAGGGAACAAUACAUGAGAAGCAGGAUACACUUGAACCUUCACAGUUCAGAAAUAUUUAAGUAAUGUUUAUAAUGUAUAUAAGCCCAUGGAAUGGAAGAUUCUUCAACCUAAACUAAAAAAACCCGAGUAGCAGAGUUGGAGAGUAAGAUUCAAUGCCAUUCUUUAUGGAGGAAUAUAGUUUUUUAAACUUUUUUUGACAGUAAUAUAUUUUUAAAUAUAUAUAUUACUAAGGAAACAAUUUUUAUCUCUGAGCAUAAAAAUAGCACAGUGAAAUUCAGUAACUCGGUCUUGAAAAGAAUCUGUAUGGAUUAUUUCAGUAGGAAGUAAUCAAGACAGAAAAUAAAAUUGUCUAUAUUUAUAGAAUAAUUUUAAAAUUUCAGAUAGUUUAUCUUUUGUGCUUCAUUUCUACACACCUUGAUCAGUGGAUAAAACACUUUUUUCUUUGCAAUAAAAACCUUACCUGAAUUAGCCAUACUUGUUUAUAGUUAACACAAUUCCAAAAAUCUAGAAUAAAAAUGAUUCUUCAUCAUCAGAAUAAUAGUCACUCAUUCAUAAGUUUAUUCUACUGCAAUUAAGCUGUAUUUUAAAAUUAAUAUUUUAACAAAUAAUAAAACAGAUGUUUGUGAAGUUUUUAAAAGUUGGCAUGGAUAUUUUUAACCUGUGAGUUACCUGAUUUUCUGAUGUCAUUUUUGUUCAAAAUUUCUCUAACCCACUUAAGCAGGCUUUAUGAACUGAAAUACAUUAUCACUUCUCGGCCUUUGGGCUAAGAUCAAGUGUAUAAACUGAAAUAUUAUAUCCUGACAUAUGUUAAUUUCAUUAUUAAGGUUAAAAUAUGUCCCAUAGGCCGGUGCCACGGCUCACUAGGCUAAUCCUCAGCCUUGUGGCGCCGGCACACCGGGUUCUAGUUCCGGUCGGGGCGCCGGAUUCUGUCCUGGUUGCCCCUCUUCCAGGCCAGCUCUCUGCUGUGGCCAGGGAGUGCAGUGGAGGAUGGCCCAAGUGCUUGGGCCCUGCACCCCAUGGGAGACCAGGAGAAGCACCUGGCUGCUGCCAUCGGAUCAGCGUGGUGUGCCGGCCGUAGCGUGCCAGCCGUGGCGGCCAUUGGGGGGUGAACCAACGGCAAAGGAAGACCUUUCUCUCUGUCUCUCUCUCUCUCACUAUCCACUCUGCCUGUCAAAAAAAAAAAAAAAAAGAUUUAUUAAAAUAUGUCCCAUCAAUCCAUUAAUCCCAAAAUGCUUUUAUAAUCCACAAAUUUUUGAAAUAUCCAAAGACACUAUGAAUACUUUUCCUCAGUACGUAUACUGUAACCAUUUUUACAUCUUUUUAACUCUUAGAAAAUUUACUACUUCCCUAGUUCUAAAAUGAAAAUAUUUUAUAUUGCUUAAAUAAAUGAAAAAAUGUAGAUAGGAUAAUCCACAUAAAAGAUCAAAUAUGAAUGUACUCAAAAUGUCAUGGAAAUUAAAUUGAAAGGUAAAUUUGUUUUUAUGUAAAAACAAUUCAAAUCCAUGCAUACAACAGAUAUUUGAAAAGUUCAUGGAAGACAAAUGUUAUGGAAAAAUUAUGUGUGGAUUUCAAAACUUUUUUCCAUAAAAAAUAAAGGGUUUAUUUAAAAAAGAUUUAGUUCAUUUAUUUGAAAAGCAGAGUUACAGAAAGACAGAGAGAGAGAGAAGAAAUGAGAGAGAGAGAGCGGGUCUUCCAUCUGCUCGUUCACUCCCCAAAUGGGCCAGGUUGAAGCCAGAAGCCAGGAGUUUCCUCCAGGUCUCCCACCUGGGUGCAGAAGCACAAGCACUUGGGUCAUUUUCUACUGCUUUCCCAGGCACAUUAAUAGGGAGUUGGAUCAGAGAGGCUCAGCCAGGACUUGAACUGGUGCCCAUAUGGGAUGCUGGUGCUGCAGGCGGUGACUCAGCCUGCUAUGCCAUAGAGCCAGCCCUCAAAAUAAACUUAAUUUUAAUUCCAUUUUCACACAAUUCUGAAGCUAAUAUAAGAUGUUGCAUUUUGAAGUUCAGUUAUUGGGAAAGAUAUCAUGUGGACAUAGGAAAAAGAUAAUAACAGUUUCUCUGGGAAGAAAUGCUACUGAACAGUUACUGUGAGAUGUAAAUGAGACAAUUGUGGCAAUCAUGUAAACAAAUAUCCAAAUAGUAGACAAUAGUGACCAACUUAAGUUUCUAAUUUUACUUGCCUCUGUGAAUUUUUUUAAUGAUUUAUUUAUUUAUUCGAAACACAGAGUCACAGAGGCAGAGAGAGAGAGAGAGAGAGAAAGAGAGAGAGAGGUCUUUUAUCCGCUGGUUCACUCCCCAAAUAUCCACAGUGGCCAGAGCUGGGCUUAUCCAAAGCCAAGAGCCUGGCGCCUCUUCCAGGCCUCCUGUGUGGGUACAGGGUCCCAAGGACGUGUGCCAUCCUCCUCUGCCUUCCCAGGUCAUAGCAGAGAGUUGGAUCAGAAGCAGAACAGCCGAGACCUGAACUGGUGCCCACAUGGGAUGCCAGCUCUGCAGGCUGCAGCUUUACCCACCGUACCACAGUGCUGGCCCCUGUGCAUAGAAUCUUAAGGAUGACUUAGCCCUCUGUGAUAAGCUGGUCCUUCCUCCCAAUUUGAAAUUAAAACAACCAAGGUUCAGAGAGUUAAAUGAUUUACUGAAGAUCACAAAUGUUAUUAAUUACAGAAUUGAUGCUACCAGUUUUCCUUUCUUACUUCCCCACUUUGUUCCAUGGCAUUGUGUACGAUAUCAUGAGGAAAAUAGUAUUUUUAUAUAGUUAUGUUAGUGAAAACAUAAAUUCUUAUUGAUCCUGUGUCAUAAUAUUUAGACUUUAAAGAGAAGAAUAAUGGUGAAAUUAUUUGGCAUCAUCUAAAAUCUUUCCAUUUAUGCCCAUCUUAAAACUCCGGAUUUGUUCCUUUCUCGCUCAUCUUUUUGCAAGCAUAUACAUAUGUUAGAGAUAUCCAUUUAACACCACUAUGUAUAGUGCUGCAUGCUACUGAAUAAUACCUUCCAGAUUUGAAUAAAAUGUUAUGCCCUUUUUUAUGGCCUCCAAAUUGCCCCUCAUUAUUAUACCCUGCCUUCCUCCUGACAGAGAAGCAGUCCACCAGUGUCCUCAGAGUUGUCCAUCCUUUGUGUGGCUACUCAACAAAGUGCACAACACUUUCCCCUCAAGACCUCCCUCACAGACCCAUUCUUGCUCCAGUUCCUCCAUCUCAGACCCCUCUGCUCAAGUGUAAUCUCUUUCGUUUGGUUGCUGUUAAAAUUUUUAUUUAUUUAUUGAGAGGUAGAGUUACAGAGAGAGGGGGAGACAGGGAGAAAGGUCUUCCAUUUCCAGGUUCACUCCCCAAAUGGCCACAAGGAUCCAGGAGCUUCUUCCAGGUCCCUUACGCAGAUGCAGGGGCAUAAUCACUUGGGCUAUCUUCUGUUGCUUUCCUAGGCCAUGAGCAGGGAGCAGGAUGGGAAGAAGAGCAGCCGGGAUUCUAACCAGCGCCCAUGUGGGAUGCUGGCGCUUCAGUUGGAGGCUUAGCCUACUCCGCCACGGGGCAGACGCCUAGUGUCAUCUCUUGUGUGACUUUGGCUGGGCUCCCUUGUGAAUAUUGAUGACAGACUAGAUUGAAAGAGGUUGCACACUUCCUGGAGAGCAGGAAAGUGGAGGGAAGGACAGAAGGGGAAGAGACAGGGCAGGCAGGAGAAAGAGAGAGAUUGCUACAGGGAGUUACAAUCAACUUUUUUGGUAUUACUAAAUGUAAGAAACAACUUCAGAAUUCACCUGUGGGAGUCAUUCCCAAAAGGAGGAGAAAUCACUAUAGUUAUUUAUUUUUCCAUGUUAGUUGUGGUGCUCUUCACUUGCAUAGCAAAAAAGGGUGGAAAAAGUAAUUUCUGGUUGACAAAUAAAUCCUUUGCAUUCCAGUCAUAAAGCUAAACACUGAAUCAUCCUCUAGUCUAAAUAAUAACAUUCUAAAAGAAAAUAUAGGGAAGCUAUUUUUUGUCCCUGGUUACAAACCAGCUGUAUACUUCAUCAUUAAAUUUCUUUAGUAAUAACUCCUAUAUAUCUAUAUUUUACAUUAUUUUAACAUAAUCUGAUUUGUAACUCAAAACUCUUGCCAAAGUACACACACAUACAAACACACACACACACACACACACACUUAUAUGCUCUUUCUUUCCCCCCUCAGUAUUUUGUUUCAUAUCAUAGAAAAUUCCCAACCAGAUCAUCCAAGAUCAUUGGUACCUGAUUCUUGUCUGCCGGGUACUUUAAUUAUCCUUCAUUCCUUCUUAAAAAAGAACCUACCCAUAGCUGCUCCUGACUGCAUACUAUGAUUUAAAAUAAUCUCUGAAUUUUUGCUAUUUAUAUUACUAUUGCACUGCUUCUUUAUUGAAAACAGAAAUAUGACAUGUGUUGCUUAGCACUGAAAAGACCAUGAUCCUCAGCCCUGGAAAGAUGAGACAAAUAGGCAUCUCGGAUUUAUUCAGAGACUUUAGCUUCAGUAAUUUUUUGUGUCUUCUGAUAGUUUUCUUAUCAAUUACCUUAAAGUAAAUUUCUGUAUAACUCUCCCCCCUAAGUUAUGUGUAUUUCAAAAUUAUUAAUAAAUAAAAGCAAAAAGAAAUUCUCUUUAUUUUAGAUCUUCAAAUAUAUCAGUAAAGUUUCAUUCUCGUAAAAGAGACUGGAAGGAAAGUAUUGGGAUCUAAGGAUCAGUUGUGCUGUAAAACUUUUCACAAGGAUAGUCAGCCACUGCCCAGUAAAACUUUCAGCAAGGAUGGAACUGUUCUAUAUGUUGUCCAAAAUGGUAGCCACUAGUCACAUUUGAAGUAUGGCUGAACAAUAGAGGAAAUGAAUUUUCACUUUCACUUAUUUGUCAUUUAAAUAGCAUAUAUGGCUGGUUGCAGCUUACGGGAGAGCGCAGGAAAAGUAAAACUAAGAAAAUAUUAAGUAAUAUUAAGUAAGAAAUAAUUUAUUCUUGACAUCCAUGACUUUUGGGUCAAGAUCUUAGCUGUAGGUAAUUUAUUGUCCUCCAUCCUCUUCAUUCAAACUUCACCAAUGAAUUUAAAUUUGAGUCCUGCAAUAACACUGAUUUCAAAUGGCCUCUGUAAGAAAUGAAAGAUUCUCACCUUAGUAAUAAGGUAAAAGUCAGGUUGCAUUAAAGUAUUUCAGAGUAGAUGUUGCCUCCUUUAACUUAAUACAUCCUUUGCAAAUCUGUUCUUUUUGAGGUAGAGCAAAUAUGCAAUAAUAAAAAAAUAGUUGACUUGGCAAGGUCGUACUUUCAUUGCAUUGUUUAAAUUAAAUGUAAAACAGGGUCAAAAAUGCACUUUGUAAACACUUUAGCCAUGAUGAAAGUAUAAACUCUGACUUAUAGAUGCUUUAAUAAAUUGAUUAUUAGGAGUUCAGAAUUAGAAACUACUCCCUAUGACAGUGGUAAUUGCACUGAUUGAUCACAACAUCUUCUUUCAAAUAAUUAUUGAUUUAAUGAAGUCUGCAUUCCUGUUGGCCCUGAAAGAAGUCUGGACACUUGGAAUGACUAACCCCUGCCUGGCUAUAAAUACUUUCAGUAUUUAUAUUUCAGUUAUAAUUAUUAUUUUUCUUCAAACCUUUAUUCCUCUCGAAUCUCUAAGUUCCUCAGUGCAUCUUUGCCUUUUGUGUGUGGUGGUCUGUCUCUGUAUGUAAUCAGAAGAGAUAGCAUGGAUUAGAAAACACAAUUGUAUUUGCAUCCAUUGUUUCUGAUUCACAGAGCUAGGAGUGAGAUGCUCAUGCACGCUGUUCACAGAGCUGGGAUAUCAGUAGGCAGUUGCUGUAAGCACAUGUUCAAUUAUUAAAAUAGUCGACAUUUUAUGUCUGAUAGCCAUAGCAAGGUCAUGACAUUAAUUUAUCUAGAGUAUUGUGGGCAACUGUCUAGAAAAAAAAAUAUAGCAUAAAGAGCAUGGAUGCUAGAGAGCUAAAAACUAAAAAAAAGAAAAAGAAAAGAUAGAUCUGAGCCAAGAGAGAUUAGGACAUGACCAAUUUAAUACACGUAGGAUAGGAAGAAGUCAGCAGGCGUCUCACUGUUACUGGCAAUAAUUAUUUUAAGCCAUGCUGGGCGUGUGUUAAUUUUUGUUUUAUUUGCUAGAUUCUGAGCUUGAACACUUCCUGAAUCUUCAGUUUCUGAAAUCUAAUUUCAUCCUUUUAUUUGUUGCUUCGUGCUUGGAGAUUCUGUGCUGUUUUUGCUUCUUUCCCUCUGCCCAUUUCUGUUUCCUUUUUCUCCCUUCCAGUUUUACCCCUUUCCUUACUGCUUUUCAUCUCCCCUAACAGUGUGCACUUAACUCCAUGUUUAUUUCUGGUGCUCACUUUUCUCUAUAUUUUUGUGUUUGAGGUCUCCCCCGACCCUUUUCUUUUUCUUUCAAGUCAGGAGCCUUUAGGAAGGGAUUUUAGACAUGCAUCUCCUACUACAGAUGUGUCUGCCUCUUUAUGGGCUGCAUGAUGUUUUCCUUGGAACCUCUGUGAGUAGUUGCCCUUCACCAUUGUUGCCACAAAUGUGUUGCCAAACUGCUACCUUAGUUGGUCCUGCAGUGCCGCACUGCAUGCUGGGAUCUGUCUGUGUGAGUAAACUGAAAUUUCUGCAGCACCAGACAGCUGUACAGUUGGCUGGAGAAUUGCCGUCCUGUGCUUCCCUUUGUAUGCAUUUCUUGUAUGCUGCAGAGUCACCGAUGGCUAGCUCUGUCUGGCAAGUAACUCAGAAAUAGUGUUCACGUAGAAAGGAAAGGUGGGCAGCUUUCUACAGUCUGUCAUUAAGGAGAGCAAUUGAAGAACAAAGGAACUGGGUAAAUACCUAUAUACUGUCUUUUAUGUUGUGGAACACUGAAGCACAAACACGCCUGAGUUCAGUCAAAUAUUUUACUUCCUUUUGUAGUAAUGCAUAUAAUAGAUCGUUUCCACAUAUGUGUAGGAAUUCAUUUUUUAUUUAAAUAUAUAUAACCAUUCAUAUUUACAGCCUGCAAAAAGAUGUCUCCCUCUCAGAGCAUCUAUGUAUCCAGCAACACACCAGCUAUGUGUUAUUAUUUUUAAGAGUACUUAAAUUAAAACAUGAAACUAUAUUUAUAUUCUGUUCGUUGAUCUCAUUCUUGCAACUUAAGAUUUCAACACUGUUUAAAUCAUAUUGAUGAUUCAGAUCCUGGCAGGUCUUAUAAUUCCUAUGAAAUGAGAGCACAGCUAAUAAAAAUAUUAAGCAAUUACUAUUAUUAAAAUCCAUUUUUUCCUUAUUACGUAGAAAUGAUUGAUCCACACACAUCGGUCUUGCUCGUGUCUCCUGGGCCGUUUGGGGGCUUCAUAUAGAAGUAGAAAAACUCCUUUGCUAUUUCUUUAGCCAAGGGCGGGGGGAAACGAAGGCAUAGAAUAGUCUAGGACUGUUCAAGAAUCGCUGGCGUUAUUUCUCUAUCACGUGUGUGAACUGGCUGCCUGCUUCCUGAGGUAGGGAAUCCAGCAUGCGACUGCGUGGGCGCCUGUAUCCACAACUGCAUUUGGAGAUCCGUCUUAUUGAUUAGGGGGGGAAGGGGAGGGAACCCGACAGUAAGGGGAGGGGUGGACCAACUGACGCCUGGUUCAUUGAAGCACGAGACAUUUUCUUCCGGGAAGAUGUCAAACAACUGAGAAACAGCCACAGAGGAAAUAGGAAGGUGGAAAAAAUAAGGAGAUCCUGGAAGAAAUGAAGGCAGUUCUUAUAAGAGCCUUGGGGCUUUUUUUUUUUUUUUUUUUUUCCCCUUCCAUCAUCUGACCUGCAAAGGCUGGAGUGACAGCGUCAUGCAAAUGCAGUCCAGCAGGUCUGGGAGAGGGUGGAUGCUAGACUGUGAGUUAAUGUUAAUGAUGAGUGCAGUGAAAAUACCAGCCGCGGCCACCCCCUGCACACAGAAGCGCUCUGAGUCAGCAUCAGAUGCUUUGCCGCGCCUCUCGCCGUGUGUCUGUUGCCUGUGCGCGCGCGCGCUCGCCCGGGCAUCCGUGUCUAGCCGAGGGGAGGGGGGUGGCGUGUGAGUGCGUGGAGGGUAAAAGCCAGUCAGUCAGUGAGAAGCAAAGGUACGUUGGAGAGCAACUAAAAUCUGACUGAUUUCCAUCUUUGGAGCAUCAGAUGUAUUCCCUAAGGAGGAUGGGUCUCCGUGAUGGGGGUGGUAUAAUUAUGUUAAUGUCAUAUUUAUGGAGGGGUGAGAUUUUUCAUUCUAAUAAUUGGUUGAAUGCUAUGGUCAAAAAUUGUAAAGCAUAUUCAGUUUUAAGGAAAAGCAUGGACUUUUAUCUGAGGACUGUUUUGUUAUUUUUAUGAUUAUUAUUUAUUAUUUUUGCUUUUUGUGAUUGCUGCUUUUUUGUUUUUUGGUUUUUUUUAAACUAUGUAUUUUAAGCCAUAACUGCUUCAGUAUGGAAAAAUCAAACGAUAAGCAGAAAGAGAUCUUAUAUAAUGAUGUAUUACAUCAUGGAGCAGAAUAUUUAAAGUCUUACAAGGCAAAGUAAAUAUCUGGACAAGGGUUGGGGGUGGCGGUGGGAAAGGGGUGUGGUACUAGUGUGGAGGAGGGGGACAGUUAGCAAAUAUUUUGUUCAGCAUAGCUUUCCUUGCAGUGUACUUGGAAAUAGAUGAUUCACCUGUUCUACAGGAAAACAUUCUAAUUCUUUCCAUUUUUCCCCCCCUCCUCUUUUCCUUUUUUUAAGAGCAACCACUUCAGAAGAACCAGAUUCUACUUCUGUGGCCAGGACUUUUAUGUUAUGGCUGGUCCGAUUGUUUUACCCUGCGUUCUAUGCUACUAAACCUCGGAUCAUUCCUAAAGUACAAAUUCUGUACUCGAACCACAAACAAGGCUAAAAGCUUGGAGGAAAUUCGAUGAACAUACAGGAUUGGGAUUGUGUAUUUUUCAAAAGUACUGGGGUUUAUAAUGCAACUAUUCAAGAAAUAGGAUCAUUUUUGUUUCUUAUGAUGUUGCCAGCAUUUUAAGUUACAUGUUGAUUAAGUGGCAUUGCUCAUAUAACUACAGAGUGUGCAUGGAAGUAUUUGCUGUCUGAAUAGUUUGGAGAUUGAAAGAGAAAAAUCAAGCUUCAGAGGUAUUAAAUUAUAACAUGCAAAAAAGUUUUUGUUUUAUUCUUAACUGCAACGAUAUGUAUUUAAAUCAGGUUUAAAGUGUUUUGUGUCCUGGGCCCACCUUAAGAGUUCUGCUGUGUGGAAGUAUAAUGGGAAGCAAAAUUUCAAUUAGAAUCCCACUAACUGGCAUAUAAUCCUUUUUUAAUGUAAUAGAGGCUAUACUAUUGCUGUAUAAAUCUGCUCGAAGCAGAUUUUAACCCAUUUUUGUUUCGUCUCUUUCUUUGGAUCUAAUGGAAUGACUUUAACUGUUCAUUGUCUGCAUUGUUUCUCAUGAUCUACGUUACUUUAAGGUCUGAAAUUAGUUUACAAAUGUUCACUGUCAUUUUCAGCUUGUCCUUUUAUCUAUCAUACGUAUAUGUUUCUAAUUAUGUAUUUUAACUAGUAGGUAGAGGGAAGAGUCUAACUGAACCCAACUUAAUUUCUAAGCUAUGCUUAUAACUGGAAGAAGAAUUCUACUGCAUCAAACCAGACUUUUCCUAGUCCCUGAGACCCUAACUUGUGAGGUAUUUUAGUAACAUCACAAGUCAGGCUCUUGGGACCUAGGCGGAGGGGAACCGGCAGCUUUGGACCUUACUGAUUGUCUGCAGUUACCACCAGAACAAAAGAACAUACAUAGAUUCUGCCUAGGGAAAAGGAACAAUGCUUUUCUUUAUAAUCACUAAUGUUUGCACCAUGACCCACCCCCCAAAAAUACUGUUGUCAGAAACUGUACUCCAAAGUGGCUACAUGGCUGCUGUAAAAUAGCAUUUGUAUUGCAUUAGAAUGAACAUAAGAUAGCAAUAUAAGGUAGCUAUGUAAGAAGCAAAAUUAAAGUACAAGUGUUCUUUGAAUGCUACUUUUGGUGUAUUUUAAGGUGGCUAGCAUAGCAUAUUUCCUUAGUUAAUGAAGAGUUUUUUUUUCAGAUUUGUAACUUUUUUCAUAUGCAUAGAAAUAUGCACAUUAGCUGUUUAAAUCCUAUGUGUCUCCAUGCAACUGUGGCUCAGAAUAUGUAAGAUACAGCUAUAAUCAUGCUUGAGGCCCACAAAUAAAAUGAAUUACAGUCUUCUUUAUUGACCCUAUUAGAUUUUACUACCGAUUUAAGAAGAAUGCUGUUUUAUAUUUAGUAUUUAUUGCCAGAGUUUCCUUAGUCUUUUAUACAAACAAAAUACUUUAUAUGUUUUUAAUGAUUCCCCUUUUCUCAGAGGCCAAUGAUGAGAAUUUUCAUCAAUAAUCUGGGAAAAUACGAUGCCUUUUAGUUUCUACAUUUUACUUUGUGAGUGCCAUGGAUCUAUGUGAGAUAAAACAGUAAAUGCCACCUAUGAAGUCAAACUGCUGUAAUUUGUCUACGAGCUGAAUCUGAGCUGCAUAGUUUCAGUUUUAUAAGAAUUUUGGUUUUGUCAGAGGUAACUAUUACAAUCACAACUGUGUCAUAUUUGAACACUUACUAGCCAUUGCCACAUCAAAUAUUUAUUUUUGGAGAUAGAUACCCUAUAUUGAAUCUAUUUUAAAAAAUUUAAAAUAAUGUUGCAAAAUGGAGAUGAGAGACUUUCCAUAACAGAAUAAACAAUGUGACUUCAUUCGUUCAACCUUGUUGCUUUACCUGGGUACUGUAAAUUGUCUUCUGCAUUGUGAAAAUAAAUUCAUGAAUGUACUUUAGAACAUUGUAUGAAGUCUUUGUUCACAUUUAUCCCAAAUCUGUUAUAAUUAUUUAUGAUCUGAUAUAUCACAUAUUACAGAUCACCCAUGAGUUAUAUUUUCUAAAAAAUUAAUAUUACAAUAUCACAAACAUAUUUAUUUCCUGGUCUAUAUAAGGCACUGCAGGAUAGGUUUCAGCACUGUGUUCAGUAUUAUAAUUCAUAUCUCCUACUUCAUGUAUAUAAGACUUUAUAAUUGUGUGAGUGUAUGUAUAUGCAUAAUUAUUUAUAAAUGUCCAAAUGGAAGGAGGUAAUAUAAACAGUGGAGCAUUUUGGUAGUAUUUAUCUUUUACUGGCAAUCUCAUUCUCAAUAGAAUACAACAUUUUUAAAAGCCACAACUUUCUGAGUACAAAGAACUCUCUCUAUAUGUAUCUGUAUGUAAACAGAAACUUGAUCAUAUUCAGUAGCAAUGUUCAGACAAUAGAUCAGAAACUACCCUAUCUAUAUACACAGGUAUAUGUUUACUGACACCUGUUUUUAACACAAUCAUAAAUAACAUGUAUAAAAUAUUCCAUCAGUUUAGUUCCAAAAUAAUGAAAGUGAUAUUUUUAUUGGUUCUUCCUGAUGUCAGAUAUUGAAUAUUUCUAAUAUAUUUUAUUUUUAUGUUAUAUUUAUGAAACCUACCUUAUAUUAACUUGUUUCUUAAAUGAAAUAUACCAAAGCUGAAUUUUUAAUGUGGUAAUGUUUAUUUUCACCAUAAAAAUAUAAAAUACAUAUUUUUUUUAGUGAGAACCCUGCAAUCUUUUAACCCUCUCUAUGUAACCUAUGUAAACUGUCUUUUAUGAUCACAUUGAUAAAGCUUUUCUCUUCCUUGCUCCAUAAAGGUGUGUGUAGAUAUAAAGGUGACUAUGUUUAUAUAAGCUACUUUAUGCUAUAUGUGCAUUGACAGAUGAUGCCUUUUCGGCACUUCUAUCUUAGCUGUCACAGGAUAAAAUUGUUUUGAGGCUUUAUAAUAUGAUUUGGAAAAUCAGAUGAUACUAAGCUUAAAAUAAAAGGAGAGAUCUACAACAAAGAGCGUGAAAAUGAUGUGUGUUGCAUACAAAAAAAGCAGUGAUAUUAACAAUUCGAUGGCUUCCUGGUUGGGAGACCAGCUUGAGCCAGACGCAUAUAUUAGGGGCUGUCUGCUGCCGAUGUGAGCUUGCUCAGUGCAGUGGAAAUGAGGAAUCACCUCCUUUCUGACACCAGCUUAUUUGUGCAUUUUAAUUUUGAAAUAGCAGAUCACUGUUUUACAUAAAUAUAAUAUCCCCACCAUGAUUCUUUUUUGUUUGUAUUGUUUGCUAAUUUAGCGUGAACUUUCAAGCUCUUUUUCUUUUUAUAUCUCUCAACAUCUACUAAAGACCAAGGAAGUAUUAGUUUUUCUUUUGUUUCUUUCGCAUUGCUCUGAUAAUAUUGUGAUACUCAUGCUUUUAACUUGGUAAGAAAAACAUCAAUUUUCCAAGAUGGCAUUUUUUUAAAUCAUUUUAUGAUCCAUCAAGGAAACUACUCUGGAAUUUUGCCAAAUCUAAAUAUGAUUAUAUUUCAUUUCAGAGUUCAAGGGAUCAACAUCUUUCUCAGCAGAAAAGUCUUAAAUACCUCAGUAUUCCAGUGAAGCUGUGGAAGAGGUGCAGAGGUACUCUUAAAUCAGUGACAUAUUAGGCUAGAAGAGGAAUAAGUAUCUCAGGAGAAUUAUAGUACAAGUUAAUUACUAAUGAAAUUACCAAAGGUAUAUUCUACCUUAAGCUCUUCUUCAAAAGGGUGUGCUGGUACACGGGCCUAGGCUUGGUCUAAUACACCUUAGAUAUGCAAAUGGCUUCACAAGCUGUCAUGUUUGGAUGACUUUAGAGAAGUGCAGUGCAUGAAGGGUUAGCUAACGCCCAAAUUUUCUUGCCAUUUACACAUGCAGUGCAGCCUACAUUUCUGUAGGCAGCAAAUGCAGGCAUCAUUUUGAUUGCUAGGAUUCCUUUGUUUAAUUUUUUACUAGACAUUUAACUUAGCAUUCAAAUCCCACUGAUCCCUUAGUGAGUGCAUUUGGAAAAGAAAAACAAAGUUCUUAACAUAGAGAAGUUUUUAGAAACAUAGGCAUUUUUAAACAUUUGAAAAAUAGACUUUUUAAUCCAGUUCUGCAAAUAUAUAUAUUUAGUAUGCAGAAACAGGUGUUAUUGUCUAUAUAUCAUCACUAGGUGUACUGUUCUUAUGUCAGUGACCAAAUAUAUAAUCAAUUAUUAAUAUUUAUAAAUAUAUACUUUUUCUAUACACAUCUUUAUUUCUUAAAAGGUUUGGUAGAAACAGCAUAAAAAUGGAGAUAUCUUCAUAAGUUCACCCAUACCAAUUCUUAAAUGAGUUACCUUCUGUUUUCAUUAAAUGCUCCUUUCUUCCAGGUUUCUCUAUGUAAAAUAUGAAGUGCUUUACCAGUCAAUGUUAACUUGCCUAUAAUAUUUUACUUGUGGAAUUUUGGAAGCAGGUGGGACAUGAAGGUGUCUGACGAUUUGUGAGACCCAGUGACUAUCUAUGGAAUCAUCUUUCCUUGCCUUUGAAUUAGCUUUCCCUAGGCCAUGAGUCACCAUCAAUAUUUAUACAUCUAAAUUGGAUGUACCUGAGUGAGGGCCAUUUAGUCCACUGCCUGAAAACAACAAAGAAAUCAUGUAUUUUUGUUGUUAGAAAUUAGAUAUAUCAUAACUGAAGGGCUCAUCCUGCUUUGGAAGUAGAAUUCUCAACUUGAAGAUUAUUUCCAGUUGAUUUCCUUGCACACAACUCUAUGAUUUAAAGUGUUUUGAAUAAAUAUAAUGAAGGAGCUCUGAAAAAGCAAGCUGUUGGUAAAUGCUAAGACAAUAUGAUUCUAAAUUUGAAAGAUUAAAAAUGUGAUUCUUACCUUAUCUAUUAUUUAUUAAGUUAGAACAUUCUGUUUGCCCUUUACUUAACUAUCUGUGAGACAUAUGCACCUGUAAGAAAUACCCACAUCUUUUUUUUUUUUUUUUAAGAUUUAUUAAUUUGAAAGGCAGAGUUGCAGAAAGGAGAGGUAGAGAGAGAGAGGUCUUCCUUCCACUGGUCCACUCCCCAAAUGGCCAUAACAGCCAGGGGUGGACCAGUUUGAAGCCAAGAGCCAAAGCUUCUUCUUGUUCUCCUACUGGGUGCAGGGGCCCAAGCAUCCAGGCCAUCUUCUGCCACUUUCCCAGGCCAUUAAAAGGGAGCUAGAUUGGAAACAGAGAAGCCAAGACCCAAACCGCUGCUCAUAUGGAAUGGUGGCACUGCAGACAGUAACUAAACCCGCUACGUCACAGCACUGGCCCUCAAAUACCCACAUCUAUAAGAAUAUUUAUUUUAUUAGUUCCAGUGUUAACAUAAAGAAUAUUCAUGGAGUACAUUAAAGGAAAAGAAUGGCCUUGACUCAUGGAAAUUUCUUGCACACUUUUUUUUUUUCACACUAAUAACUUCAUUUAGAAUUAAUGUAGAUACUGGAAGCAAAGUUGUCAUUCUUUGUUAUUCGAUUGUAACAAAUUGUAAGGAGAAAGAAACUUGGCCUUACUAGUGACCCUCUUUGUGGUCACUGUAGAGAAAUCUUACAUUAUAUGAGUGGUACUCACUCAUGUAUAAAUGAAAGUUUUUCAACUCAAAAUAUUUAUUCAUUAAUUCAUCCAUUCUGCUUACACCACCCCCACAUUCUCUGUACUCUCUCUCCCUUGCCUCUGCCUCUUCCUCUGUAUAUCACACCCUCACUCUUUCCCUUUCUUCACUGUGUUGACUUCCUUCUCAGCUAGGCUCCCUCUUUGUGUGACAAAGAUGACCAAAUUUGCAUAAUGCAGCAUUCCUAUACCUUGUGAUUCCAGAAGUAAAAGCUUCUCUUCAUCUCUACAUCACGUUCAGUACCAGAUAGCCUGGGACUGGCUCUAUUUUGAUCAAAUGCCCAUUUGUACAACCACUGCUUAGUCCAAAUAAGGGUUACUCUUAUUAGAUGGCUAUGUAGGAUUAACCUAACUUUAACAAUGAAGUAUGAGUCUCUCAAUGACAGAAAGUGAAAGAAAUUUAAAGCAGGAAAAAAUUAAUAGAGUUCACAGCAACCACUACAAAGUUCUAAAUGCUCAGUACAAUUAUAUUGUAUAGGUUUUUCUCAAAUGUUUAUCUUGGUAAACUUAGUGGUGCCUAUCAAUAUGUGGACAAUAUUAGGAAAUUCAGCCAAAAGUGCUCUAUGUGGCAUGGAAACUGUAAAACAUCUGUUGCAAUGAAUCUCAACCUUGAAUAUUGAGAUUAAUUAUGUCUUAUGAAUGUUUUUCAUGAUCAUUUAACAUGUGAUACACAUGAGGAAGCACCAUUUGUUGUCAUUUAGGAAUGCAAAACUUUAAAUAUUACCUAGCAUUAUUAGAAAUAGUUUGGUAAAGAGGUGAUAUUGAUUUUAUUCUGCUUAACCGUUAUAUAAAUAGGUCACUCUAUUAUAUUCUUUCCACAUUCACCUCCAGAGUUAGGGACGCUUUUGUUGAUGAGUCUUGGAAAUCUUUUAUUUUUUCACUUAUGAAUUCCCUUCUUCUCUUCUGACAAUGGUGUAUGUGUGUAUGUAUAUGUGUGUGUGUAUAUAUAUAUAUGUAUGUGUGUACAAUUACAUGAUUAAAAUUUUAUAUUCUGACAUUUAUUUUUAACUUUUUAGCAUUGUUCAUCAUGGUAUGACUAGAGCUGUUUUUACAUUUUACAAUCAGGAACUACAACUUAGAAAUCUUUCUCACAAUGAGAAAAAGAUUAAUUUCCUAUGAAUAAUGAUUCUAAUAUAAAACAUUUUACUUUUUGAGAUGCAAAUGAGCAAAGCUGUAAAUAUAAUUUAGAGAGUUUGAAAGUUUAACAUUCAUAAUUCUUACUAAUUAAUCAAAUUACAAAAUUAUGCUGGGGUUUCCAGUAUAUUAAAAUAAGUUGUCAUAUUUGGAACAUCUGUUUAUGGUUCUAUUAUAAAUAUGUGUUUCUAAAGGACUGAUCUAUAGAUUGCCAUAAAUAAUAUGUGUAACUUGUUCUGUGGAAACUUGAUGCCUACUUCCCCUCCAAAGCUCAUGUGUUUCUCACAAAGUAAAUCUUCCAGUUUGCAUUUUGUCGUUUCCUUAUCAAGGUGGGAGAAAAAGGACUUGGGUCUUAGUUAAACCAUGCUGAUUGGUUAAAAAAAGAGAUGGCCGUCAUUGGCAGCUUUUCCAGACACUGCACCAUGGCUCCAGACAGUCAGAUGGUACUAUCGUUUUGUCUCAGCCAUAAAUCACAGUGUCUUCAUGGCCAAAGCUGACACCUUGACAUUUUCUAGAAGAGUAAAGGACCUGAUUUGAAUGGAAAUCAAUUUCAUUUCACAAAUCUUGGGUUACCACUCCAAGCCUUUCCUUGUUUCUACUUGAGGAUUAUUUGGGUUUUUCUUGGUCAUAAGAGGAUUAUUUGAGUGUUAUAUCAUGACUUCUUUUAGCUGUAAAAGCAUAUUCUUACUUCCUUCUUCAUUCUUAUAUAGAAAAAUUGAUUUCUAAAAUUUUCAAUAAGAAAAAAAAUCACUAAGAAGCCAGAUUUUAUUAUAAUCAUCGUAGGUUGAUUUUUUUUUUUUAAUAGGCAGAGAGACUGACUGAAAAAGAGAGGGUGAGACCUCCCAUCUGUUGUUUCACUCCCCAAAUGCCAGCAAUAACUGGGAUCAGGGCAAACGGAAGCCAGGAGCCAGGACCUCAGUAAUAGAUCUCUCAUAUUGGUUGCAGGGUUCCAGCUCCCUGCCUUACCCUGCUACCUGCUACUUCCCAGAGAGCACAUUAGCAAGAAGUUAGAAUUGGGAGCUGGAACUGGGACUUGAACCCAGGUACUCUGAUGUUGAAUGCCGAUAUCUUAAUCACCAGGCCAAAUGCCCACUCUACAUAGAUAGUUUUAAAAAUGCUAAUAGAAGCAACUGUUAUUUAGUUUUACAAAAUUCUUUUGAGUUGUUCUAUUAUUUAAAAAUACAAACUGUAUAAGUAAGCAUUGAUUAAUAAUAGCAUAAAUUUUGGAGUAAUUUUGAACUUCAAUCAAGGAGGUUUCGAAUCCUCUGAAAAGUAUUUGUGUUUUUAUUUUCUUAAAAUAGUCUCAGGGGAAAGCAAUGUGGCAUAGUGGACUAAGCCACUGCCUGUGAUCCUGGCAUCCCAAUUAAGGGCUGAAUCAAGUCCUGGCUGCUCCAGUUCCAAUCCAGCUCCCUGCUAAGGUGCCUGGGAAAGCAGCAGAAAAUAGUCUGCAAGUUUGGACUCCUGCCACCCAUGUGGGAGACCAGGACGGCGUUUCAGGAUCCUUGUUUUGGCUUGACCCAUUCCUCAUUGUUGCAGUUAUUUGAGAAGUGAACUGGCUGAUGGAAGAUAUUUCUCUCUCUCUCUCUCUCUCUCUCUCUCUCUCUCUCCACACACACACACACCUGUCUUUGUAACUCUUUCAAAUAAAGUAAAUAAAUCCUUAAAUCAUUUUGAUUAUUAAGUAUUCUGGAGCCAGUGAUGAAUAACAAGUACUUAAUCACGUUAGGUGGGUCCACACAUUUACUGCAUCAGUUUUUUCAACCAUUCAAUAUACAAGACACAUGGCUAACUCCACACUUUUAAAUUCUUUUAAGGGCUUUUAGGAGCUGUCAUUGUUUAAAUUUUUUUUAAAGAUUUAAUUAUUUGAAAGCAGAGUGACAGAGAGGGAGACAGAUAUCUUCCAUUCCUCCCUUUCCGAAUGCCUGCAACGGUCAGGGCUGGACCAGGCCAAAGGCAGGAGCCAGGAACUCCGUAUGGGUCUCACACUUGAGUGGCAGAGACCCAAGUGAACAGGCCAUCAUAUGAUGCUUCCCAGGCACAUUAGCAGGAAACUGAUUCAGAAAUGGAGUCGCUGGCGCUCAGGCAGGCACUCCUACCUGGAAUUUGCAUGGUUCAAGUGGCAGCUUAAUUUCUUUGAUUUAUAAUAUUUAGGAUUUUUGCUUGAUCCUUCUCCAAGAGUGACCUAAAUUCAGCAAAGCUGUAGCUCUUUUAAACAUUAUAAUAAUGAAGAAUUUGAGUAAAAACUGCCUUUGAUUUAUUGAGUAUGGGAUGAUACUAUAAUACUUGGUAGUGAUUUCUCAUCUUUAUUGUUAUUUAUUAUUAGUCCCCAAUUUUGUCUCAAAUCAUGUUUUUAAACGGGAACACUUUUUAAUUGCAAAUUCAUUAUUUUGUAAAUACCCAGUAGCAAAUGGAAUUACAGGCAAUUACAGAUAAGAGACUACCAACCCUUAGUUUUUAUCUAGCCUUCUAUUCAUUUAUUCAUUCAUUCAUUCAUACUCCUUUACAAAACAUGAUCUAUGCUAGGCAGAUGAAGAAUACAAUAUGAACUUAGAAUCUUGUUGAAGACAAGAAACAUUUGUUGAACAGUUAGAAGUUGUGUGCCUAUUGAAGGGUAUGAUGAGUUCAGUUUGUAAAGGACCUGCAUUGUUCGUGGGUCUGUCCUAGUAAUUGUACAAUUUUACAAUGUGGUAGCCAUUGGUAGCUUUUAAUUAUUUUUAGAUAGAUGCAAGGUUGUUGUGAGAUGCAAAGUUAUUCUGUUUGCAGUCUGUAUGGCUUAAGACCCCAACACAUAGGACAUAGGAGAACUACUAUAAGCUUUGUGAAGACUGACCAUUUUUCAAUCCCUAUAAAUUACAAUUUACUAUGUCUGGGGUAUAGAAUACAGGGGUGCAUUUUGUAAUAUGUCUUAGGUGACUGACAGAUUGCUCUGUUGACAAAGAGUUGGGUAAGGAAUGGUAAAAUGAGAAGAUAAAAAGUAUUAUAAGACAUGUAGAGAGACUAUUGUACAUGUGCAGGAAGGAAAAAAAAAAAAAAGAAGAAGAAGAAGAUGGAGAUUAAACCAUGGUCCCCUAACCUGAAUUCCUAAUCUGAACUCUGAGGUUGCAUAUUCCUGUAUGGCUAUUCUUCUUUUGAUGAAAAGGAUGCUGUAGUGUUUAUAAGACUUGCAAAAGAGAUGUUUUAAAACCACUUGUAUUAGCCCAUUUUUCAUUAUUAUAGCAGAAUACCAGAGGUGGGUUAAUUGUAUAAAGGAAAAUUAUAUUUUGGCUCAUAAGCCCAGAGAUGUAAGAUCUAGAAUCUUCAUCUGAAAAAGACUUCUUGCUAUCAGAGUCCUGAGUCAAUGCUCAAUAUCACACGGCAAAAGACAGGGAACACACAUGUAUGUAUAUGUUCCUCUGUUUAUAAAGCCAUGAGAGGUCAGUUAUGAGGGCUUUGCAUUGGUGCAGCUCCUGCCAUCGCGGCCACUUGGGGAAUGAACCAGUGGAUGGAAGACAAUUCUCUCUCUCUCUCUCCCUCCACCCUCUGCCUCUGCCUCUCUGAAACUCUACAUUUCAAAUAAAUAAAUAAAUCUUUAAAAAACAUAAAGGAAUAAAACAAAAGAUGUUGGAGGAAGCCUGGGAAAUUUGUCACAAUGGAACUAAAAAUUUUGAAGCACCUUAUAAUAAAUGAAGCAGAACUAUAUGUAUAGGGACAUUUAUUUCAGCUUUCUGCCUAAAUAAUACAUUUAACUUGCAAAGAUUAUAAAUUUCUUUAUGAUAUUAAUUUAUUAAACUUAUCUCAUUUCUAAAACUUCUGUCUGUUCAUUUGAUUGAUAUCCUAAAAAUACUGUAAUCCCUUCCUGUGCAACUGGAAAGACAGUGUUACUACUUACAGAUGGAUUUAAACCUGCUAGUCCAAUGUCACUGAAUCUACUGGUCUCAAAUCAGCUGAAGCAAAUUAAAUAUAUUUUCACAUAAUUUAAAUAUUAACAGUUAGUUUAAAAUAUGUUAAACUUACUGUGCAAAGAAAGAAAAUGUUCAUUAUUAUAAAAUUAUAAAUUCCAGAUUAAUAGAAAAAUGAAAACAAUGAUUAAUCCCAUCACCUGGACGACUUCUAUUGUUAUAAAAUAUAUACCCAUAUAUCCUCAAUCUUUCUCAUCAUGCAUAUACCCAAGACUUUCAUAAUUCUUUGUAACUUGCUUUUUAUUUAUUAAAUACUAAGUGAAUGCCGUAUCUCAUAUUUUAUCAUGUAUUCACUAUAGUAUGAUUGAUUUAACCAUUUGACUCAUAGAUGUAAUAUUGAAUUUAUUUCACUUUUUUUUUUGAAAACUUAGCAAAACCAGUACUCUGGUAAUAAAUAUGCUUUUAUACAAUUAUUUAUAGUGAUUCGGAGCAUUAACUGGGAAAGAUGAUAAUGACCUGAAAAAAGUGGAGGCAGCGGGAAUAGGGGGACAAGAGAGGACCAGGGUUAGAAAGUUGAAUAGAAACAGCCAUGUUUGUAAAGUGAUGGAAUGCUUCCUGAAAAAUUUAAACCAAGGUUCCCUAGUCACACGUUUUGCUUUAUUUUUUCUCUACUCAUUUGAGCAAUGAUACUCUUGGCUUCAGUAGGAGGAAACAAACAAUCAAGAAUAUCAUCAGCAGAAUUAAAGUGCCUGUUAAAUUUUUUUUUAAAAAACUAAUAGCACAUUGGGGCUGAUGCUGUGACACAGCGGGUAAAGCUGCCACCUGCAGUGCCGGCAUCCCAUAUGGGCACUGGUUCAAGUCCUGGCUGCUAUACUUCCGAUCCAGCUCGCUUCUGUGGCCUGGGAAAGCAGUGGAAGGUGGCCCAAGUCUGCACCCACGUGGGAGACCUGGAAGAAGCUCCAAGCUUCUAGAUUCGGAUCAGCUCAGCUCUGGCAAUUGUGGCUAUCUAGGGAGUGAACCAGCGGAUGGAAGACCUCUCUUUCUAUCUGUCUCUGCCUCUCUAUAACUCUGCCUUUCAAAUAAAUAAAUAAAUAAAUCUUUAAAAAAGAAAAACUUAAAGUACAUACAAUAUGCUCAAAGCACAGUGCUCUGGUUUGGAAAUGUUAGGCUCUCAGGAAGAAAAUGUUUUUAUUUUUAAUUUCUAAGGAGCAUGGCCAGCAAUAAUAGUCUAAAUUAGAAACCUAGAUGGUAGAAUUUAUAAAAAUUAACCAUACAAUAGAGAAGGGUGUGAUCUAAAGGCAGUUGCUCAUCCAGCAGGACACCAUGGAACUUUCUAAGCAGGGGUAGUCAAGAGUCUGGAUGCCAGAAUGAGAGGAGAGAAUUGGAUGUAGGCAAGUGACAUUUCCAUAUUUCACUCCUAUUUUUGCAACAGUGUGGGGAGGGAUGUGGAUAACAGAUACUCAGUAGAUGAGUAUGCAGACAUAGGGUCAUAACCAAAGGGUUAUGAUCCCUUCCACCUACUAGAGAAAGCCUGAAAUAAAUUCCCAAUCCCCUCAAAUCCCUAACCAAUCUCCUUCUUCUAAGAAUGUCCUUUAUCAGGAUGUGAAAGUGAUCUGGAAAGUUUCCCAUGUCUGCACGAGACAUCAAUUAGAUAACUAACAGGUGGAAGAUUCUAGAGGUUCAGACAUUCCAAAUCACCAACUAAAGCAAAGGAUAACUGUUUAAUCUAUAAGCUACAUUCUCUAAGAGUAGCAUUAUGUAAUUUACUGCUGAGAGAAGAGUUUCAUGAAUUUCCCUAGGGUGAGAAACCAAGACUCAGACCCAUUUUAACAAAAGUUUGUGAAGGCCAGAAAUCAGUGGCCAAACAUAAAGGAGAGAAAGUAGAAAUCAGAUAUAAGUGAUUCCAUUUUUAUUAAAGGUUAAAUUCUCAUAUAUUCCAGUUCAUUUACAAUGUUAUAUCCAAUGAUGAUUAUUUUAUUUCUGUAUUUUUUUUCCUUUACCUUCCUGGGGAUGGAAAUGUAGUUAAUUGAGAAUAGCAUAGGGGUUAGUCUUUUCUUUCUGCCCCUCUGUUUCUUUCAACUCCGCUUUUUCUCUUUUUGUUUUUAUUCAGAUAGUCAAGUCAUUGGUCUUUAGCAUAUAAGUCUAUUUAUUUGCUCAGUCAACAAGCACGUUAAAGGUUUUCAUAUGAUAAACAGAUUGUUAUAAGUUGCAAUAUUAAUUUCGACUUCAAUUUAUUUUAUCGUAUUUGUUUAAUGUUAAUUGAACAUGCCAGAGCCUUUAUGCUGAAUAGGGCAUAUGCUUCAUACACUUCUCAUUCCUGGAUUUUAGGAUUAUGACAGGAAUAAGGAAAGUAUGUGAGUGCACCAUGCACACACACACAUCUACCCACACUUAUAGGAAGUAUUUAUGAUGAUCAUAAAGGAAAUGUGCAAUGGAAUAGUUUAGAAAUGCCAGGUUAUGUGAAGUCAUGGCACAGCUCUUCAAAAUCAUUAACUAAACACAUUAUGAGAUAAACAGUAUGAUUUUUUUGUUAGUGCUUCCAGUAUCUUUCCUGGGAAUUCAAAUGGAAGAGAGAAUCCAAUGAAAUUUAGUGCUUUGCAUCCUUUGCAUCCUUACCAAGCUCAUAUCUGCAAGUUAAUCAUGUGUGAUAAGAUUAAAAUGUAAAAAGCAUUUGAAUCAAUAGCUCUUUCAGAUGCUUUUCUGAUAAAAUUGCUUCAUUUUCUUUCCUAACUAAUUAAUUCAUAUAAGAGGAAUCAUUAGGAGAAAACUGAUAUUAGGAGUAACAGGAUCCAAAGAGUUUAUUGGACUUCAUUGCUUUAGUUGGCAUCUUUGCAAGCCUUUUAAUAAUUAGAUCUCAGAAACAUCUGUCUUAGAAAGGGGUUUACUUUCUGAUUUCCAUUUACUUGAAAAGGAAUUAAGUUAGGGUCAUGCAUAGAGGUUAGGUUACUUCUACCUGGAAAUUAAUCAGAAAAUUCAUUUUCCCCUUUGGUGUUGCUUUUGUGCCAACUCUCCCUACCAACUACCCCCCCACCCACACACACACUCCUGCCUUUUAUCUUUUUACAGUCUUAGAUCUCCCUUGCAUUUAUCAUAAUAGUUUAAAGGAAUGUGAAGUUGUGGAUUUCCAUUAUUUUCUUAAUUAUAUAUUGAAUAUAUGAUAUAAUAGGGUAGGAUAAAGUGUUUUUAAAAGAUGUGACAUCUUAAAGAAAAUUCACAGAUAUCGCAAGUGACUCUAAUUUAUUGGCAAAUUCCAGGCUACGUUCUGAGUCAUAUUUCUGCUAGAAGAAACCUACUUUCCAUUUCAUGUUUUCUCAUUUGCAUUACUGCAAAGUUAUUCAUGCAUAUGAAAAGGAUAUUAUUCAUCUCCUGAUUCCUUCCUCUCCCCUUCCAAACCCAAAAUGUUUGAGGUACACAUAAAGGAACACAACUGCUGUGCCUGUAUAUUUCUUCCUAUCCACGAUAUCUUUAUGAUUCAAAUCUGGUAUUAACGGUGGAAUUGCAAACCCAAGUGAUGCCAUUGUGUGCUGCCUGUGUCUUCUUACAUCAUUAAUGACACAUCAAAAUUGUCAAAUAUGUUGAAACCCAAUAAUUGUAGCUGACAAGCGUUAGCCGGAUUUGUCUGCAUUGGAAUGACUAAAAACAAAACAAGCCAAAACAG